rnacentral:rRNA from 1 species
AGUGAACGCUGGCGGUAGGCCUAACACAUGCAAGUCGAACGGCAGCACAGUAAGAGCUUGCUCUUACGGGUGGCGAGUGGCGGACGGGUGAGGAAUACAUCGGAAUCUACUUUUUCGUGGGGGAUAACGUAGGGAAACUUACGCUAAUACCGCAUACGACCUACGGGUGAAAGCAGGGGAUCUUCUGACCUUGCGCGAUUGAAUGAGCCGAUGUCGGAUUAGCUAGUUGGCGGGGUAAAGGCCCACCAAGGCGACGAUCCGUAGCUGGUCUGAGAGGAUGAUCAGCCACACUGGAACUGAGACACGGUCCAGACUCCUACGGGAGGCAGCAGUGGGGAAUAUUGGACAAUGGGCGCAAGCCUGAUCCAGCCAUACCGAGUGGGUGAAGAAGGCGUUCGGGUUGUAAAGACCUUUUGUGGGGAAAGAAAAGCAGCAGGUUAAUACCCCGCUGUUCUGACGGUACCCAAAGAAUAAGCACCGGCUAACUUCGUG